UAUGGAAGCAGAAUGUGAAGAUGGGGGAAAUGGUGACUGUUCAUCAUAAAUCACAUUUGAAGAUGAAAGAUUGUUAAUAUCCCAAUCACCUAAAAAAGUGAUUUGAGUGGAACAUUAUUAAAUUUUAGAAUUAUAAAUAGGAAGAAUUUUGAAAAUUGUACUGACUGUUUAAACGGCUUGCAUGAGUAUUUUAUACAGUUUGUAUAUGUUUACAUAUCUCUCCGUAAAGGCAGAUGUGUACAGACAUCUGUUCAUACUUGAAAGGUAGGUUUAUAGAUACAAAAUAACAGUAUUCAUUUUUCCAAUUAUGUAUAGUAGAUAAUAGAUGAUCUGUAAAUUCUUUAUUAAAGCCCAAUCAGAAACUUAGAAAUAAUAAAAUUGGACCAAAUUACCUGGUCCAAGAAGCUUACUAAUUAUCAAAGGAUAUAGCUUAAGGAAAUGACAAAAUCACUAAUAAAGGAAACCAAACUGUGGUAACCAGAAUAAGGUUCAUGGGCAUUUGUAAAUAAUUUUCUUGCAUUAAGCUGUCAAAUUUAAUGUCAAAAGGAGACUGAAAAGUGCAGAAGAUAGAAACAGAUGUAUUUAAUAGCAUCAUUUUUAAUUAAAAAGAAAACAAAAGAAGGAAGUGAUUUACAAGACAUGCAAAUUUACCAAGUCUUUUUAAGGAAAGACCAAGAAAAGCCCUGAAAGCCUUAAUGUUGCUCAGGUUUCACGUAGGAGCACAGACCGGAAGGAGCCAAACCUGAAGAAGGAAGAGAAAAAGCCUAGGACUAUGUGAAAAAAAAUCAGCGCAGUUAGCAAAGAUGUCACUGGGAACGUAUGAUUUACAAGCAGAUGGUGGAAGGUAACACAGAGAAUCGUAAGCUGCAAGGGGACUGUAGGAGGUUAUGUCUACACUUACUCCUCAAAAGCUCUGUGUGGUAGAUUUGAGGCGGGGAGCCAAAGGAGACAAGUACUAAACAAGUAUUGCCUUUAUUUCUAGAAUAAUGCGUUCAAUUAAAAAAUAGUGAUUUUCAAAUACUGUGAUAUUUCAAAAACAUACAAUGAACAAUACAACGAAACCAAGGAAGUUUAAAAUCAGUACAGGAGUACAGACAUGGCCUCAGGUCCGACUCCUUGUCUCCAGUUUCUAGUCUACAGCCAGAACCAAAGGUUACAGACAGAAGUCAACUCACAUGAAUUCUGCCAUCUUUGAUGGCAGGACCAUCCUCAGCCAGACGAAGGAUAAAGAGGCCCAUGUUGUACUCCUUUCCCCCUCGGAGACUGAAUCCAAAGCCCCGGGGGCCUCUCUCCAGCUCUACUGGAUAACAUCCAAGGCUCUAGAGAGAAAGAAGUGACACUUCUACAAGAGAGAGAAGUCAAGUCAUUCUCUGAACUGAGAAAAUGGAAAACAGCCUUAAAGUAAAGGCACAUUGGUUUGUUUUCUUUUAAAAGAUGAACAUUGCCAUUCUUCCUCUGAUAAACCACUGUGAAGACAGACUGUAUCUAGAACCAGAGCGAUGUGAGGAAAAACCUGGUCAUUAACUCCAACAUAGCUUAAAGUCUGCCAGCAUCCCAUUUUUUUUCAGGGCAUCUCAGUGCAGUUUACAUCAAGGAAAACUGCACUCAAAUAACUGAACCAGAAGGCAGAUAAGUUGACCUCGUCACAGAGAAAAAUGACUCUCGUGUAGCGCCAACACCGGGGAAAAUGCUGAAUUUCUGGAAAUGUAGUUUUUGUUUCAUGGUUAACAUUUAACAAAAGAAGAAAGAAAUAUGUACAAAAUACUGCUCUGCUCAGGUAGUCUAAUACAGCAGUCCAUGUAGGCCUGGGGCUUUCCUACCAAAACUAUGUGGACCAAGAGUAGCAGAGCCAGAUGCUACUGUCACUUCUUUCUAAUCCCCGCCUGUCAGGCAUGACUGGAUAAUUAUGUUGUGCCUUGGCUGGGGCCCAGGAAGAGGAAUGAGGGUCUUGAGGGGGUGGAAGGAAUCCGAGGGUGAAAUAGGCAAGAGUUCUCGUCUUGACCUCAACAACUGGCUUCUGCAUAACUGCAAGGGAGUGGUGUGGAUUAUGAACAGAGGAGAGAUGAGAGCAGCCCCACCUGUCCCCAGGUAUGUGGUUGGCUUGUGACUGUCCCAUGGGCUUGUGCUGCAGGGCUGGGCUUUGCCUGGCUGAGUUUGUUCCGGAUGGUGGACCAUGAUGCUCUGUUCAAAUGAGAAAACAAUAGAAAUAAGAAUUUGUACAUAAAAAUAUGAAGGCCAAGUGGAUCUAUGAAAGUGGGACAAUAACAAAUGUUUAUUGCUUUACGCACUUUAGCAUGAAUCGUACCGCUGGAAUUGGAACAUUAACAUCUUUUUCCCUGUGGUUUUGAUUAUGUUUCUGUUCGAAGAGAAUAGGAGUCAUAUUCCUCCUUCCCCACUUUCACCUUUGUUUUGGUCAUCCAUACAACUUGAAAAUCAAAAAUGAACAUAAUAAUAUUUAUUUAGAAGACAGAGCUCCAGAAAUCAUCCUAUAGCCUCUUCUAUGAGUUUCCAUAGCACACUCCUCAUAAUUGGUAAACCAUUCUAGAUAACAAAGAGGGUCUCAGGAAUAUUGGCACACAGAGCCCAGUCUGCAAACUAUACAAACAUCUUUGAACCUGCACCUUUAAUAUUGGAGCAAUUAUUAUUAAGUAUGAAAUGUCCGAUUUCCUUAAUACAUUGACUGCCACACUAGAAAAAAUUUUUUUCCUUGGA